ACUCAAAUGAAUUGACGGGGACCCGCACAAGCAGUGGAGUAUGUGGUUUAAUUCGAAGCAACGCGAAGAACCUUACCAGGUCUUGACAUCCAACUAACGAAGCAGAGAUGCAUUAGGUGCCCUUCGGGGAAAGUUGAGACAGGUGGUGCAUGGUUGUCGUCAGCUCGUGUCGUGAGAUGUUGGGUUAAGUCCCGCAACGAGCGCAACCCUUGACUUUAGUUGCCAGCAGGUAAGGCUGGGCACUCUAGAGUGACUGCCGGUGACAAACCGGAGGAAGGUGGGGAUGACGUCAAAUCAUCAUGCCCCUUAUGACCUGGGCUACACACGUACUACAAUGGCCGGUACAACGGGAAGCGAAGCCGCGAGGUGGAGCCAAUCCCAGCAAAGCCGGUCUCAGUUCGGAUUGCAGGCUGCAACUCGCCUGCAUGAAGUCGGAAUUGCUAGUAAUCGCGGAUCAGCAUGCCGCGGUGAAUACGUUCCCGGGUCUUGUACACACCGCCCGU
rnacentral:rRNA from 1 species